ACGGCUCAGUAACACGUGGAUAACCUGCCCUAUGCUCUGGGAUAACCUCGGGAAACUGAGAAGAAUACCGGAUAGACCACAACGCCUGGAACGGUGUGUGGUUGAAAGGUCACGGCAUAGGAUGGGUCUGCGGCGUAUCAGGUCGUAGGGGGUGUAACGGACCUCCUAGCCAUCGACGCGUACGGGUUGUGGGAGCAAUAGCCCGGAGAUGGAUUCUGAGACACGAACCCAGACCCUACGGGGUGCAGCAGGCGCGAAAACUUCACACUGCAGGAAACUGUGAUGAGGGAACUCCAAGUGACUGCACAUUGUGUAGCCUUUUCUCAACUAUUAAUCGGUUGUGGAAUAAGGGCUGGGAAAGACCGGUGCCAGCCGCCGCGGUAAUACCGGCAGCUCAAGUGGUCGUCGCUUUUAUUGGGCCUAAAACGUCCGUAGCCUGUUUGGUAAAUCUGUGGGUAAAUCAACCAGCUUAACUGGUUGAAUUCUGCAGAGACUGCCAGACUAGGGACCGGGAGAGGUGUGGGGUACUCUAGGGGUAGGGGUAAAAUCCUGUCAUCCUUAGAGGACCACCAGUUGCGAAGGCGCCACACUGGAACGGAUCCGACGGUCAGGGACGAAGCCUAGGGGCACGAACCGGAUUAGAUACCCGGGUAGUCCUAGGUGUAAACGCUGUGAACUUGGUGUCGGGAGUCCGCAAUGGGCCCCCGGUGCCGGAGUGAAGAUGUUAAGUUCACUGCCUGGGGAGUACGGUCGCAAGGCUGAAACUUAAAGGAAUUGGCGGGGGAGCAC
rnacentral:rRNA from 1 species